rnacentral:rRNA from 1 species
CACGUAGGCACCAAGCGUUGUCCGGAUUUAUUGGGCGUAAAGAGCUCGUAGGCGGUUCGGUAAGUCGGGUGUGAAAACUCUGGGCUCAACCCAGAGCCGCCACCCGAUACUGCUGUGACUUGAGUUCGGUAGGGGAGCGGGGAAUUCCUGGUGUAGCGGUGAAAUGCGCAGAUAUCAGGAAGAACACCCGUGGCUAAGGCGGCUCUCUAGUACGGUACUGACGCUGAGACGCGAAAGCGUGGGGAGCGAACAGG